UCUUGGUCCAGAUACCACAGCACACCUUCAGAGGUCUGAUGGAGUCUAGGCCUUGGGUCAGAGCUGGUUUUGUGGGAAAAGGGGAACUACCCAACAUUAGACAGGUGGUGAUGGUCUGCUUCCAUGAGAGGAUGGAUU